rnacentral:rRNA from 1 species
CACGAAGUUAGCCGGGGCUUCUUCUCCGACUACCGUCAUUAUCUUCAUCGGUGAAAGAGCUUUACAACCCUAAGGCCUUCAUCACUCACGCGGCAUGGCUGGAUCAGGCUUGCGCCCAUUGUCCAAUAUUCCCCACUGCUGCCUCCCGUAGGAGUUUGGGCCGUGUCUCAGUCCCAAUGUGGCUGAUCAUCCUCUCAGACCAGCUAUGGAUCGUCGCCUUGGUAGGCCUUUACCCCACCAACUAGCUAAUCCAACGCGGGCCAAUCCUUUACCGAUAAAUCUUUCCCCCGAAGGGCACAUACGGUAUUAGCUCCAGUUUCCCGGAGUUGUUCCGUAGUAAAGGGUAUGUUCCCACGUGUUACUCACCCGUCUGCCGCUCCCCUUGCGGGCGCUCGACUUGCAUGUGUUAAGCCUGCCGCCAGCGUUCGUUCUGAGCCAGGAUCAAACUCU